rnacentral:tRNA from 1 species
UGUCUCGUAGUGUAACUGGCAACACGUCUGACUCUGGAUCAGAAGACUCUAGGUUCGAACCCUAGCGAGACAG